rnacentral:misc_RNA from 1 species
AACAAGGCGUACCUGCGGACCUGCGGAGGGAUCAUUAACACACAAAAAAUCCACUUAAAACCGGUUCGGUCGCCGCCUGCCCUAGCGCGGGUGGUGCCAGGCCGGCUUUGAGCACCGUGAUAUGUUGAAGUCCUUAACUUCCAUGACCCCGCCUCCAGCGGGCCUGGAAGCUCUUAAACAACACAAUUUAAACUUUAGACUGAUUCAAAAAAAUAUUUCUCAAUCGAGACAGAUACAACU